UUGAAAAUCGCACUGGUGUUCUCACUGAACAAUCAGAUCCCAUCAACUGCAGCUGGUCUGAGGUUCAUAAAACUGCAGCUCUGCAUGUUAUCACUGCCAGAGUAAUCUGAUAGCACAAGUCUGGUUUCACAGAGGUCUCUAUAGCAGUUACAAAAUGAGGACACUUUGGAUUUCUUUCCUGUUGAUGGGAAGCAUCACUGUGCUCCUCAACAACCAGGGAAGGUAGCGAAGGUGAACAGCCAGUGUGGUGGUAUGUAGCUUCACCUUCACAGGAACCAUCCAAGCCAGUCUACUAGAACCCCAGUGGGAAGCUGGUUGGUUCUGGCAGUUACCCAGGAGUUUACUACACCAGCAGUCCUACUUAUGGGGUCCAACAUGGCAGCCAUCAGCACCGCCAGCAUGCAGCUCCAGGAGACAACAGUGCUCAUUUUGCAGAGGAGAGCUGGAGCUCUUCAUCUGAUACCAGCGGUGCAGAUGAGUCAGUCUUCUCCCCUGUAGAUGAAGAGGAUCAAGUGUACGCCUAAAAGUCCAAGUCACGAUACAACUGUAAGCGGCUGAGGUUCAGCCAGUUCCGCUACAACCCAACAGAACCGAUUGUCCUCCAGCCACCAGUGUUUCCCCAUCAUGGGAACAUUUCCCAUUAUCCUGGCAAAAAGGGUCACUGAAGAUCUGAGUUGCACUUCAGUUGGUAUGUUCAGUCCCUGCUACUGAUGAUCUGACUGGAUUGUUUUGUUUCACUUGCGGUCCUGCUGUUUCUAACUGUGUUUUAAUAAAAACUGACGUUUCUUUGCAA